UCAGUCGACUCCUACGGGAGGCAGCAGUCGGGGAAUCUUGGACAAUGGGCGCAAGCCUGAUCCAGCCAUGCCGCGUGAGUGAUGAAGGCCCUAGGGUCGUAAAGCUCUUUCGCCAGGGAUGAUAAUGACAGUACCUGGUAAAGAAACCCCGGCUAACUCCGUGCCAGCAGCCGCGGUAAUACGGAGGGGUUAGCGUUGUUCGGAAUUACUGGGCGUAAAGCGCGCGUAGGCGGAUUAGUCAGUUAGAGGUGAAAUCCCAGGGCUCAACCCUGGAACUGCCUUUAAUACUGCUAGUCUUGAGUUCGAGAGAGGUGAGUGGAAUUCCGAGUGUAGAGGUGAAAUUCGUAGAUAUUCGGAGGAACACCAGUGGCGAAGGCGGCUCACUGGCUCGAUACUGACGCUGAGGUGCGAAAGUGUGGGGAGCAAACAGGAUUAGAUACCCUGGUAG
rnacentral:rRNA from 1 species